GGAAAGAUGGCAGAGGGGUUAACGCAGCUGGUUGCUAACCAGUAGCUGUUUGUGCAGUCGUAGGUUCGAAUCCUACUCUUUCCG
rnacentral:tRNA from 4 species